rnacentral:lncRNA from 1 species
UCGAAACAGGCAUUUGUUAGUGAAUGAUGAAACUUGAAAUAUAACUUAUCCUUUGAGAAUUACAAACUGUAAGAUGUAUGAUUGAUCAGUUUGAAACCACGAUGCUUCUUCUUUAUGUUAUUGUAUGAUCUAAUUCUAGCAUCGGCACAGCUGGUACGGUACGUAGAACGUAUGAUUUGUGUUUAAAAAAAUAGCUUACAACAGAUUUAAAUUAAUCGUCGGUUAUGGUUUGUGUUUCGUUGUGUUUGCUUUGUCGAAAUUUUGAGCUGAGGAAGACCAAGAUCAUGUGCUGUACAGGUUAUCUUUUGCACAAAUAAUUUGGUGUUGGCUUGGUAGUACUAGUGCCCUCUGCUUCAGCAUUUAGUGCUAAACACGGUCUCCCUUCCUUUCUUUAAAGCUCAGGGUUCGGGAAAUUAGCUGGUGCUCUCCUCCAACUGGUUGGGUUACGGCCAAUUUUGACGGCAGGAAGACUUUAAUUAGAGCCAGGAAAAUGGGUCAUCGGUCUAGUGGCGAAUCAACAUACGACCAGUGGAGGAAGCUUUGCUGGAAAAAUAAAAAAUAAAAAAAAGUUCUAAAAACUAAGGAAAAAUUACUUUGAUUUUUAAUUAGCGCCCAUUAAAUCUAUAAUUUCAAAAACCCAUAAAAGUUAAA